rnacentral:rRNA from 1 species
UACGAAGGGGGCUAGCGUUGCUCGGAAUUACUGGGCGUAAAGCGCACGUAGGCGGCUUUCUAAGUCGGGGGUGAAAUCCUGGAGCUCAACUCCAGAACUGCCUUCGAUACUGGAGAGCUUGAGUCCGGGAGAGGUGAGUGGAACUGCGAGUGUAGAGGUGAAAUUCGUAGAUAUUCGCAAGAACACCAGUGGCGAAGGCGGCUCACUGGCCCGGUACUGACGCUGAGGAGCGAAAGCGUGGGGAGCGAACAGG